rnacentral:tRNA from 1 species
ACGCGUGUAGCUCAAUGGCAGAGCAUUGGCCUCCAAAACCGAAGGUUGGGAGGUCGAGACUCCCCGCGCGUG